AUUCCACCCUCCACUAAGCCCAGGGAGCUUUGAUACUUCUGAGGGCCCCAGAGAGGGGGAGACCUCGUGGCGCCCCUCCUUCCCCAGAAAGCAUUUGCUUUGAGGCUGUACCCCGAGGCGCCAUGACUUUUUUUUUUCCUUCUGCUUUCCCUUUAGCAGCAAAUACUUUCAGUUCCCUUCCGGUCAGCCCCUCUGUUUUCCCAUCCUUUGAUCCAUUUCCAAUCACCCCGUCUGAAGCUGGGCUUGGGGGAGGCAGACGACAGCCUCAGCUACCAGUGCAGGAAGCAGGGUGUUCUGGACCGAACACAGAUUUGGAGACUUGAGGGACAGUUCAUAACUUCACAACCGGCGUGAUCCUGGCCCGGUUACCUUCCGAGCCUGUGGGGUCGGUCCGUGGCUCGUGUUCUUCACAAGGUGGUUUUUAGGAUCAAAUCAAUAGCUGUAGCUGAGACUGUGCAUGAAAAAGAACUCUACACAGAGCCUGUGGGCAGAGAUGGAGACAGAGAAGGACGGGCCACGUCUCGGGUACAGUAGUGACCGCAGCCAGCGAAGAUGCUAUUUUGGUCUUUCUGCAGAUUUGACCCAAGAACAAGCCUCUCUUGCUUCCAGCCCCAAACCAGCCCACCUCUGCAGCAGAGCCUGAGUGGUGAGGCCCUGAGAUAGCCAGCGUCGUGUCCACCCAGGCCCUCCGACACCGUGGCCAGCAUAGACUUACUACCUGCCCCUUCCGUACACCACCACGCUUCCGCGAGGCCCUGCCCUGGGCACUGGGCCUCCAAGGAAGUAAAGAACUCACGUCCAGAGGGAGUUGCUGACAAGUCAACAGCGAGUUGCAUUGAGAAGAAUAAGUGAUAGAAGACAAGCCCAGGAGAACAAAAGAAAGACUCUGAGGUGUCAGCCAACACCCUAAUGACUACAGGCCAGACAGCACCGGGGCAGGAAUCAGCACGCAGCUUACACCUCGAGCUCACAGCAGGACAAGGCCUCUGUGUGUCUCAAAGACAUCCGCUCUGGCCCAGGGGAGACCAGGACGGUGGGAGCUUGUUCCUUGACUGGGGGAUUCGUGGACCUGAAGAUCCCCAAAAAUAAAUAGAUGAGAAGACCAGAAAGAGUUGAUAUUGUUUGAGGGGGGUUGUCUUUUUUUUUUCCUUGAAGAUUUUAUUUUUAAGUAAUCGCUACAGCCAGUGUGGGGCUCGAACUUGUAACCCAGAGAUCAAGAGUCACAAGCUCCACUGAAUGAGCCGACCAGG